ACACUCCUGCGGGAGGCAGCAGUGGGGAAUUUUGGACAAUGGGCGAAAGCCUGAUCCAGCAAUGCCGCGUGCAGGAUGAAGGCCUUCGGGUUGUAAACUGCUUUUGUACGGAACGAAAAAACUCCUUCUAAUACAGGGGGCCCAUGACGGUACCGUAAGAAUAAGCACCGGCUAACUACGUGCCAGCAGCCGCGGUAAUACGUAGGGUGCGAGCGUUAAUCGGAAUUACUGGGCGUAAAGCGUGCGCAGGCGGUUAUGUAAGACAGAUGUGAAAUCCCCGGGCUCAACCUGGGAACUGCAUUUGUGACUGCAUGGCUAGAGUACGGUAUAGGGGGAUGGAAUUCCGCGUGUAGCAGUGAAAUGCGUAGAUAUGCGGAGGAACACCGAUGGCGAAGGCAAUCCCCUGGACCUGUACUGACGCUCAUGCACGAAAGCGUGGGGAGCAAACAGGAUUAGAAACCCGUUUAUUCCC
rnacentral:rRNA from 1 species